rnacentral:lncRNA from 1 species
CUCUCUCAUUAUUAUUAAUGCUAGCCAACAUCAUAUCAUUGUGAGGUGGGCUUGGUAAUGAUGAGUCUCCCAUACCCUACUAAGAGUUUCCUCCAAAACUCUCGAAUUCCGAUGAGGGAUAUGGAAUUUGCCAAAAAUAGUGGGUGGUGCUAUUUGAUUUAAAGACCUGGAUCAAAUGGCUUAAAAUCAAUCAAUUUAUAUUGGUUAUGUAUUUAUUUACCAAUAUAUUUGCAAACGCUAUCCAAAACUUGACAAAGAAAAAGCCGAAAGCUUUAGUUUCCGAACUUGGUACCACAAUCCCAUAGAUUGUCUUAAAUGGAUUGUAUAUGUACCUAAGUAGUCUUAUCCUCACAAUCUUCCUAUUGAUAAUGUAUCAUUGGAAGAACAUGUUAGAUAAGUCUAUCAUAAAGAGGACAACACUUUUAAUGUCAUAAUUCUUUAAUUACAAAUUGUUGUAUGAAGAAGUAAGAGUUUCUUUGAACAACUCUUAGUUAACGCAAACAUUAGUGCUUGUUUCUUUGUUACAUGAACAAGGAACUUGAGAAGUAAGCACAAGGGCAUGUACACUUUAUGUGCCAUGAUUCUUCACUUACAAAUUGUUGUAUGAAGAAAUGAGAGUUGCCUUGAACAACUUCUUGAAAGUUUGUAAUUAUUGUUUAGAACAUAAUGGUUGGUUGACAAAAUAGUCCAUCAACAUGGACUUAUGAUGAUUUUGAAUCAUUGAGUGUGAAGUGUUAAAACCACUUCACGAGAUGAAAACUAGGCACGGACUUCACUUUUGUAUCCCUAUCCAAAUGGUUCACUAAGUUUAUUGUAAACUAUAUAGUGAACAAUAACCACACGCUCUCCAAAUUGUUUGAUGUGUAUAACACAAUUGAAAUAAGUUUCAAGAGAGAUAGUGGGAGUUUAGGGACCAUUACUAUUGUAGUCAAAGGAGAAGUCAAAUGAAGAAGGCAAAAUAACUCCAAGGGAACAAACUUUGUUUUACAAUCGUUGUAAAAGUGUGGCUAAUAAGAAGUAGAAGAUUAAUGUGAG